CUCCAAGUGCCAUUUACCGUUUUUGUGUUUUGAUUUUUACUUGAGUGCCUUUGGACCGAUGGUAGUAUGGAGAGGUGACAUUAGCACGGUUGAUGGUUGCUUCUCUCUUGUAGAGUACAUCUCCUUCUUCUAUAUUCCAAUAUAUCAAUAAAACAAGAGAUCUAUAAUAUCAUUGUUUAUGGAGUUCACAGAUUAUUGAAGAUUUUUGCUGCCAUGGAAUUGUGAGUUUGUGACUAUACAUUCUUGUGUCUUGAAGAUGUAUUGUCUCUGUAUGUGAAUGUCAAUAUCCAGAGUCCAUGAUAUCAUACAGUUUGAAGUCAAAAAAUUCAUGAUAUGGGUGAUAUGGAAAAGUCAUUGCCUUCUUUGCUGGAACAUUCCCUGAUUGCCUGGACUUCUUGGGUCAAUCGCUGGACGCCACCCCCGUCUCCUGGACGUCAUGACGCCGCCGAUUUCCUUGACGCCGCGUGCCACCGAUCUUCUAUAACUCAAUUUCUCCAAUUUCUCUCGGCUGUGAGCUCAUAUAUAUUUUUGAGCUGUGAACUUAUUAUGUAAACUCAACACUUUGUUUUGUGACAAGUGAACUCAUUUCAUAUUCAUCUAUCAAUCAUGGUUGAAGUGUCUA